rnacentral:rRNA from 1 species
GACGAACGCUGGCGGCGUGCUUAACACAUGCAAGUCGAACGGAAAGGCCCUGCUUUUGUGGGGUGCUCGAGUGGCGAACGGGUGAGUAACACGUGAGUAACCUGCCCUUGACUUUGGGAUAACUUCAGGAAACUGGGGCUAAUACCGGAUAGGAGCUCCUGCUGCAUGGUGGGGGUUGGAAAGUUUCGGCGGUUGGGGAUGGACUCGCGGCUUAUCGGCUUGUUGGUGGGGUAGUGGCUUACCAAGGCUUUGACGGGUAGCCGGCCUGAGAGGGUGACCGGCCACAUUGGGACUGAGAUACGGCCCAGACUCCUACGGGAGGCAGAAGUGGGGAAUAUUGCACAAUGGGCGGAAGCCUGAUGCAGCAACGCCGCGUGCGGGAUGACGGCCUUCGGGUUGUAAACCGCUUUCGCCUGUGACGAAGCGUGAGUGACGGUAAUGGGUAAAGAAGCACCGGCUAACUACGUG